GAUGAACGCUGGCGGCGUGCCUAAUACAUGCAAGCCGAGCGAACGGACGAGAAGCUUGCUUCUCUGAUGUUAGCGGCGGACGGGUGAGUAACACGUGGAUAACCUACCUAUAAGACUGGGAUAACUUCGGGAAACCGGAGCUAAUACCGGAUAAUAUUUUGAACCGCAUGGUUCAAAAGUGAAAGACGGUCUUGCUGUCACUUAUAGAUGGAUCCGCGCUGCAUUAGCUAGUUGGUAAGGUAACGGCUUACCAAGGCAACGAUGCAUAGCCGACCUGAGAGGGUGAUCGGCCACACUGGAACUGAGACACGGUCCAGACUCCUACGGGAGGCAGCAGUAGGGAAUCUUCCGCAAUGGGCGAAAGCCUGACGGAGCAACGCCGCGUGAGUGAUGAAGGUCUUCGGAUCGUAAAACUCUGUUAUUAGGGAAGAACAUAUGUGUAAGUAACUGUGCACAUCUUGACGGUACCUAAGCAGAAAGCCACGGCUAACUACGU
rnacentral:rRNA from 1 species